rnacentral:rRNA from 1 species
ACACACCGCCCGUCACACCACUGAGAGUUGGAAAUACCCGAAGCCUGUGAGCUGACCGUAAGGGGCAGCAGUCGAAGGUAGAGCCAACGAUUGGGUGAAGUCGUAACAAGGUAUC